rnacentral:rRNA from 1 species
UACAGAGGGUGCGAGCGUUAUCCGGAAUGAUUGGGCGUAAAGCGUCCGCAGGUGGCUGUGUAAGUCUGCUGUUAAAGAGUCUAGCUCAACUAGAUAAAAGCAGUGGAAACUACACGGCUAGAGUACGUUCGGGGCAGAGGGAAUUCCUGGUGUAGCGGUGAAAUGCGUAGAGAUCAGGAAGAACACCGGUGGCGAAGGCGCUCUGCUAGGCCGUAACUGACACUGAGGGACGAAAGCUAGGGGAGCGAAUGGG